UACGUAGGGUGCAAGCGUUGUCCGGAAUUAUUGGGCGUAAAGAGCUCGUAGGCGGUUUGUUGCGUCGGCUGUGAAAUCCCGAGGCUCAACCUCGGGUCUGCAGUCGAUACGAGCAAACUAGAGUGUUGCAGGGGAGACUGGAAUUCCUGGUGUAGCGGUGAAAUGCGCAGAUAUCAGGAGGAACACCAGUGGCGAAGGCGGUACUCUGGGCCGGAACUGACGCUGAGGAGCGAAAGCGUGGGUAGCGAACAGG
rnacentral:rRNA from 1 species